rnacentral:rRNA from 1 species
GACGAACGCUGGCGGCGUGCUUAACACAUGCAAGUCGAACGGAAAGGCCCAAGCUUGUUGGGGUACUCGAGGGGAGAAGGGGUGAGUAACACGUGGGUGAUCUGCCCUUCACUUCGGGAUAAGCCUGGAAAAGUGGGUCUAAUACGAGAUAGGAUGAUGGUCUGGUUGCUAUUGUGGAAAGGUUUUUCGGUGUUGGUUGAGCUCGCGGCCUACCAGCUGGUUGGUGGUGGAAUGGCCUACCAAGGCGUCGACGGGUAGCCGGCCGGGGAGGGUGUAGGGCCACAUUGGGACUGGGAGACGGCCCAGACUCCUACGGGGGGCAGGAGUGGGGAAUAUUGCACAAUGGGCGCAAGCCUGAUGCAGCGACGCCGCGUGGGGGGUGACGGCCUUCGGGUUGUAGACUCCUUUCGCUAGGGACGAAGCGUUUUUGUGACGGUACCUGGAGAAGAAGCACCGGCUAACUACGCG